rnacentral:rRNA from 1 species
GAGUUUGAUCCUGGCUCAGAUUGAACGCUGGCGGCAUGCUUUACACAUGCAAGUCGAACGGCAGCGCGGGGAGCUUGCUCCCUGGCGGCGAGUGGCGCACGGGUGAGUAAUACAUCGGAACGUGUCUUCUAGUGGGGGAUAACUGCCCGAAAGGGCAGCUAAUACCGCAUGAGAUCUGAGGGUGAAAGCGGGGGAUCGCAAGACCUCGCGCUGGAAGAGCGGCCGAUGUCCGAUUAGCUAGUUGGUGAGGUAAAGGCUCACCAAGGCGACGAUCGGUAGCUGGUCUGAGAGGACGACCAGCCACACUGGGACUGAGACACGGCCCAGACUCCUACGGGAGGCAGCAGUGGGGAAUAUUGCACAAUGGGGGAAACCCUGAUGCAGCGACGCCGCGUGGAGGAAGAAGGUCUUCGGAUUGUAAACUCCUGUUGUUGAGGAAGAUAAUGACGGUACUCAACAAGGAAGUGACGGCUAACUACGUGCCAGCCGCCGCGGUAAUAC